rnacentral:rRNA from 1 species
AUUGAACGCUGGCGGCAUGCCUUACACAUGCAAGUCGAACGGCAGCGCGGGAGCAAUCCUGGCGGCGAGUGGCGAACGGGUGAGUAAUACAUCGGAACGUGCCCAAUCGUGGGGGAUAACGCAGCGAAAGCUGUGCUAAUACCGCAUACGAUCUACGGAUGAAAGCAGGGGAUCGCAAGACCUUGCGCGAAUGGAGCGGCCGAUGGCAGAUUAGGUAGUUGGUGAGGUAAAGGCUCACCAAGCCUUCGAUCUGUAGCUGGUCUGAGAGGACGACCAGCCACACUGGGACUGAGACACGGCCCAGACUCCCACGGGAGGCAGCAGUGGGGAAUUUUGGACAAUGGGCGAAAGCCUGAUCCAGCCAUGCCGCGUGCAGGAUGAAGGCCUUCGGGUUGUAAACUGCUUUUGUACGGAACGAAACGGUCUUUUCUAAUAAAGAAGGCUAAUGACGGUACCGUAAGAAUAAGCACCGGCUAACUACGUG